rnacentral:rRNA from 1 species
AUAUUAUUAAGUGGAGGAAAAGAAACCAAAAGGGAUUCCCCCAGUAGCGGCGAGCGAAAAGGGACCAGCCCAAAGCCGAAUCCCCACGUCCUCGCGGGCGCGGAGAAAUGUGGCGUAUGGGAGACGGAACUUUCCGCGUUUCGAGGGCGGCUCAAUUACCCAUGAGCGGGUAACCGGAGCGGGUGUUAGUCCCGUGCAGUCGCCCUCUUCUCGCUGAGACGCCGUCCUCCCGGGAGUCGGGUUGCUUGAAAGUGCAGCCCAAAGUGGGUGGUAUGCUCCACCUAAGGCUAAAUAUCCCCGAGAGACCGAUAGCAAAUAAGUACCGUGAGGGAAAGUUGAAAAGAACUUUGAAGAGAGAGUUCAACAGUACGUGAAACCGCUUAGAGGGAAACGGGUGGGCCCUCGAAGUCCGAAUGCUCGGUUAGAAUCAGCUACGGCAGAGUCGCCGUUGCGCCUUUCCUGGCGAGCACGUAGGAGGCCGCGACUGGUUGGUCGAGGAGCGGAAGGACAGGGCGCGGGAAAGGUAGCCGUUAUUUCGGUGUUACAGCCCGCGACCAGUAUGGCCGAUCUUCGAAACCGACUCGGUAACAGAGAGAACCUCGAAAAGGCGAGCUUCCUCCAUCGAACGCGGAGGGAAAGCCAGGGGUCUGCGGUCAGUAGAUCGGGUCCCACCCGACCCGUCUUG